rnacentral:rRNA from 1 species
UACGUAGGGUGCAAGCGUUGUCCGGAAUUAUUGGGCGUAAAGAGCUCGUAGGCUGCUCGUCGCGUCUGCUGUGAAAACCCGAGGCUCAACCUCGGGCCUGCAGUGGGUACGGGCAGACUAGAGUGCGGUAGGGGAGAGUGGAAUUCCUGGUGUAGCGGUGGAAUGCGCAGAUAUCAGGAGGAACACCAAUGGCGAAGGCAGAUCUCUGGGCCGUAACUGACGCUGAGGAGCGAAAGCAUGGGGAGCGAACAGG